rnacentral:rRNA from 1 species
AGUGAACGCUGGCAGCGUGCCUAAUACAUGCAAGUCGAACGAAGUGGCGCACGGGUUAGUAAUAUAUAGUUAAUCUGCGCUACCCAGAGGAACCACAGUUGGAAACGAAUGCUAAUACCUCCUAGUGUAGGAUGCGACUAUAUCGUAUCAGCUAGUUGGUAAGGUAAUGGCUUACCAAGGCUAUGACGCGUAACUGGUCUGAGAGGAUGAUGAGUCACAUUGGAAGUGAGAAACGGUCCAAAGGCCUACGGUAGGCAGCAGUAAGGAAUAGUGCGAAACGUGGGAAACCCUGACGUAGCAACGCCGCGUUGAGAAUGACACUUUUCGGAGCGUAAACUCCUUGUAUCAGGAAAGCGGUACCUGAUGACUAAGAACCGGCUAACUCCGUGCCAGCCGCCGCGGUAAUUC